GUGCAUGUUAACCAAGAGCUGUGGCUUAGCAAAUAGCCACUGGGUCUCCAACAACAUGCGAGAGCAUGGCGGGGGGACUUUGACUCUUCAGGCUUGGUUAUCUGGGGAUGUCACUCGACCCUCCUAUAUUG